rnacentral:tRNA from 1 species
GUCUGGAUAGCUCAAUGGUCUAGAGCAGUUGCCCGGAAAGCGAAAGACUCGGGUUCGAUUUCCCGAUCCAGCCA